rnacentral:lncRNA from 1 species
GGGAAAGAGAACAAAUGGACAGCUCCGAGGAAAACAGUCUCUGUUCUCAUUAUUAUACCUUUCAACACUCUAGAAAAAGUCAUCUGCUAAAUGGCAAUAGCUGAAUGGGUAUCAGAGAGAAAUGUUAUUGGAACUAAGUGAUGCAUCUCUCCUACUUUGUUUGAAGGUAUUUGAUUUGAUCCUUGGAGGUAGAGUGAGGUCUGUCUGAAUGUUACCACGUGAUGAAAGUAAAAACAGACAUAGAUGUCCAGACUAAAAACUUGGCCAGCUUCUAGCUGAUGAAUCAUCCCACAUUCAAGAGAUCAUGAUGAGAUGGCUGAGGCAUCCGAGAAUUCUAUACAGACUUUCCUGUUGGCAGUUACAGUUGGUGAGCUUGAUUCUCAGGCCUUCUGACUGAACUUCUUGGCUGACUUCCUGGACCAGAAUUUCUCAGACCAUGUGACUUUGCCACCAUAACUGCAUGAUCCAAUUCCUCAUAAUAAAAUUUUAUGUCUUUCUUACUGGAU